rnacentral:rRNA from 1 species
UACGAAGGGGGCUAGCGUUGUUCGGAAUCACUGGGCGUAAAGCGCACGUAGGCGGAUGUGCCAGUCAGGGGUGAAAUCCCGGAGCUCAACUUCGGAACUGCCUCUGAUACAGCACGUCUUGAGUCCGGAAGAGGUGGGUGGAAUUCCUAGUGUAGAGGUGAAAUUCGUAGAUAUUAGGAAGAACACCGGUGGCGAAGGCGGCCCACUGGUCCGAAAUUGACGCUGAGGCACGAAAGCGUGGGGAGCAAACAGG